rnacentral:rRNA from 1 species
UACAUGGGGUGCAAACGUUGCUCGGAAUUAUUGGGCGUAAAGCGCGCGUAGGCGGCUACCUAAGUCGGAUGUGAAAGCCCCUGGCUUAACUGGGGAAGUGCACCCGAAACUGGGUAGCUAGAGUGCAAAAGAGGGUCGCGGAAUUCCCGGUGUAGAGGUGAAAUUCGUAGAUAUCGGGAGGAACACCAGUGGCGAAGGCGACUACCUGGCCUGUUCUUGACGCUGAGGCGCGAAAGCUAGGGGAGCAAACGGG